rnacentral:lncRNA from 1 species
UUCAUUCUCGACUCCUAGGAGUCGAGAUUAAGAAUUGAACGAUGGACAGUUAGGGCGUGAAUUUGUCUUGCUACCUGAUUGGAAGAUAUUACAAGACGUGAAUAAUCAAAAUUUAUUGAUUGGUUAGGACAAUCCAAACCAAGUAAAUGUCCUUCAAUCCCGUAGAGUAUCGGAUUUGUCCUCUCUAUUUUAGCAUUUAGAAUUUACACAGGUAACCUUUAUCUAUAAAUAGUCGAAUCUUCUGGAGUAAACAACAAGUAAUAGCUUUUCUAAAAAGCUAAGUCAGUGUUCUCCCCAGGCCGUUUUAGCGUCGCGGUACCGCGACGCUAUAUUUUUUCACCGUGAUGCUAUAAUAAUUCCCGCGACGCUAUAAUUAUUCCCGCGACGCCAUAAUUAUUUUGAAGAUGCUAAUACUUGUCCUCAAUUUUGAACUUUCAUCUAUUAUCGAUUAUGAUCAUAAAAAUUAUAUCACCUUUAAUUGUAAUCCCUUUAAGUCGGACACUAAAGGCAAUUAGAGAUUAAAUAGCUAGGUGUUAAUUGCCCUCAGGGUGAUAACUGUUUGGAUGCGAAUAUCCCAAGCUGACACUUGUGACAUGACUAAUACCACG